UGCUUCUAUGACGUUAGCGGCGGACGGGUGAGUAACACGUGGGCAACCUGCCUGUAAGACUGGGAUAACUUCGGGAAACCGAAGCUAAUACCGGAUAGGAUCUUCUCCUUCAUGGGAGAUGAUUGAAAGAUGGUUUCGGCUAUCACUUACAGAUGGGCCCGCGGUGCAUUAGCUAGUUGGUGAGGUAACGGCUCACCAAGGCAACGAUGCAUAGCCGACCUGAGAGGGUGAUCGGCCACACUGGGACUGAGACACGGCCCAGACUCCUACGGGAGGCAGCAGUAGGGAAUCUUCCGCAAUGGACGAAAGUCUGACGGAGCAACGCCGCGUGAGUGAUGAAGGCUUUCGGGUCGUAAAACUCUGUUGUUAGGGAAGAACAAGUACGAGAGUAACUGCUCGUACCUUGACGGUACCUAACCAGAAAGCCACGGCUAACUACGUGCCAGCAGCCGCGGUAAUACGUAGGUGGCAAGCGUUAUCCGGAAUUAUUGGGCGUAAAGCGCGCGCAGGCGGUUUCUUAAGUCUGAUGUGAAAGCCCACGGCUCAACCG
rnacentral:rRNA from 2 species